rnacentral:rRNA from 1 species
AGAGUUUGAUCAUGGCUCAGAUUGAACGCUGGCGGUAGGCUUAACACAUGCAAGUCGAGCGGUAACAGAUCUAGCUUGCUAGAUGCUGACGAGCGGCGGACGGGUGAGUAACGCGUAGGAAACUGCCUAGUAGUGGGGGAUAGCCCAGAGAAAUUUGGAUUAAUACCGCAUACGCCCUACGGGGGAAAAGGGGCUUCGGCUCUUGCUAUUAGAUGUGCCUGCGUAAGAUUAGCUUGUUGGUGAGGUAAUGGCUCACCAAGGCGACGAUCUUUAGCUGGUCUGAGAGGAUGAUCAGCCACACUGGAACUGAGACACGGUCCAGACUCCUACGGGAGGCAGCAGUGGGGAAUAUUGCACAAUGGGCGAAAGCCUGAUGCAGCCAUACCGCGUGUGUGAAGAAGGCUUUCGGGUUGUAAAGCACUUUCAGCGAGGAGGAAGGCUAAGUAGUUAAUACCUGCUUAGA